CAUUGGCUAUCUUGAGCUUAGGGGUUGGGGUUAGGGAAAAUGUUAGGUCCCCAUGAGGACAUCGGCUAUCUUGAGCUUAGGGGUUGGGGUUAGGGAAAAUGUUAGGUCCCCGUGAGGACAUUGGCUAUCUUGAGCUUAGGGGUUGGGGUUAGGGAAAAUGUUAGGUCCCCAUGAGGACAUCGGCUAUCUUGAUCUUAGGGGUUGGGGUUAGGGAAAAUGUUAGGUCCCCAUGAGGACAUCGGCUAUCUUGAGCUUAGGGGUUGGGGUUAGGGAAAAUGUUAGGUCCCCAUGAGGACAUCGGCUAUCUUGAGCUUAGGGGUUGGGGUUAGGAAAAAUGUUAGGUCCCCGUGAGGACAUCGGCUAUCUUGAGCUUAGGGGUUGGGGUUAGGAAAAAUGUUAGGUCCCCAUGAGGACAUCGGCUAUCUUGAGCUUAGGGGUUGGGGUUAGGGAAAAUGUUAGGUCCCCAUGAGGACAUCGGCUAUCUUGAGCUUAGGGGUUGGGGUUAGGGAAAAUGUUAGGUCCCCUUGAGGACAUCGGCUAUCUUGAGCUUAGGGGUUGGGGUUAGGGAAAAUGUUAGGUCCCCAUGAGGACAUCGGCUAUCUUGAGCUUAGGGGUUGGGGUUAGGGAAAAUGUUAGGUCCCCGUGAGGACAUCGGCUAUCUUGAGCUUAGGGGUUGGGGUUAGGGAAAAUGUUAGGUCCCCGUGAGGACAUCGGCUAUCUUGAGCUUAGGGGUUGGGGUUAGGGAAAAUGUUAGGUCCCCGUGAGGACAUCGGCUAUCUUGAGCUUAGGGGUUGGGGUUAGGGAAAAUGUUAGGUCCCCGUGAGGACAUCGGCUAUCUUGAGCUUAGGGGUUGGGGUUAGGGAAAAUGUUAGGUCCCCGUGAGGACAUCGGCUAUCUUGAGCUUAGGGGUUGGGGUUAGGGAAAAUGUUAGGUCCCCUUGAGGACAUCGGCUAUCUUGAGCUUAGGGGUUGGGGUUAGGGAAAAUGUUAGGUCCCCAUGAGGAUCUAAAAACAUGUGAAGGUGUUUAA